rnacentral:rRNA from 1 species
UACGGGGGGGGGCAAGCGUUGUUCGGAAUUACUGGGCGUAAAGGGCUCGUAGGCGGCCAACUAAGUCAGACGUGAAAUCCCUCGGCUUAACCGGGGAACUGCGUCUGAUACUGGAUGGCUUGAGUGUAGGAGAGGGAUGCGGAAUUCCAGGUGUAGCGGUGAAAUGCGUAGAUAUCUGGAGGAACACCGGUGGCGAAGGCGGCAUCCUGGACUACUACUGACGCUGAGUGAGCGAAAGCCAGGGGAGCAAACGGG